rnacentral:rRNA from 1 species
CCUACGGGAGGCAGCAGUGGGGAAUAUUGGACAAUGGGGGAAACCCUGAUCCAGCGACGCCGCGUGAGUGAAGAAGUAUUUCGGUACGUAAAGCUCUAUCAGCAGGAAAGAAAAUGACGGUACCUGACUAAGAAGCCCCGGCUAACUACGUGCCAGCAGCCGCGGGAAUACGGAGGGGGCAAGCGUUAUCCCGAUUGUCUGGGUGUAACGGGAGCGUGGACGGCAGCGCAAGUCUGGCGUGAAAUGCCUGGGCCCAACCCCGGAACUGCUCGUGAAACUGUGAAGCUGGAGUGCAGGAGAGGAAAGCGGAAUUCCUGGUGUAGCGGUGAAAUGCGUAGAUAUCAGGAGGAACACCGGCGGCGAAGGCGGCUUACUGGACUGUAACUGACGUUGAGGCUCGAAGGCGUGGGGAGCAAACAGGAUUAGAUACCCCAGUAGUC